rnacentral:lncRNA from 1 species
UUAGCUCAACUUAAACUGCUUCAGUAACAAUUAGAUGAAGUAUCACAUAAGCUUAAUGAUCUGCCUAGACAUAUCAGAGAGUCUUCAAAGAAGCAAGUUUUUAGAUGUGACUCGUAUACUGAUGAUCAUGAUAUGGGCCAGUGUAGACUUAGACUGAGGAAGUCCAAUUUGUCAACAAUCCUCCAAUGCAAAAUUUCCAGAACAACUACCUAAGGGGAGGAAAUCAGUUUCAAGGGAACCAACCAUGGAGGCAGGACAAUCCUCAGAAACCACCAUUCUAUCCCAGACCAAAUCAAUAUCAACACCCUACCCAAGACAAGAAUGUUAAACUGGAGGACACUCUGAACUAAUUCAUGCAAAUGACAAUGUCCAACCAGAUGCUUCCCCCAGAACAUCGAGAUUCAAAUUGGGCAGCUGGCCAAACAAUUGGCAGAAAAUCAGAAAACAAAUUUUCUGCCAAUACUGAAUUCAAUCCAAGGGAGCAUUGCAAUGCUAUCUUACGGGGUGAAUCUAGCUCAGCUAAGCAGUAGGAUGGGGUUGGUGCAAAAAGCUGGACAUGUAGG